UGGUGGAGUGAUUUGUCUGGUUAAUUCCGAUAACGAACGAGACUCUGUCCUGCUAACUAGGUUGUGUUUUCUCGGGUUGGUGUUUCUGGUGUUCCUUCUCGGGGCGCCGGCCCAAUCCACUUGUGAACACAACACUCUUCUUAGAGGGACUGGCGGCUGUUAGCCGCACGAGAUAGAGUAAUAACA
rnacentral:rRNA from 1 species